CAGCAUGCACCGGGGCUUCUCGCCGUCGACUUCCUGCCGUCGCUUCUUCUUCGUCUGGUUUGUUGACAAACUCCAACGACAGUGAGAGCGGCGUCUGCCGCCGCCUACCGGAGGGUGGAUAAAGUGCAAACAGUUGUAUUCCAAACUGAGACAUGGACCGCUGACACGACUUGGCACAACUUGCAGUUUGAGGAUUUCCCUCUCGGCAGGGAUCUCCCUUUGGCAGCUGCCGUGCCCCUCCGGCGACGUGGACGCGUGGCCGGACAGGACGCCCCGCCUCUCCACCCAUCCACCUUAUCGACCCGCCGCACAGCACUGGUGCGGGGGCUGCCUGCGACCUGAUACCUCACAUCGCCGCGGAGAAGUCGGUCCCGGCUGAGAUAGAGCUCCCCACCUCUGCUGUGCCCGUGGCUAUACCCCGGAGUUAUCACGCACCAGAUGCUCAGCGGUUGCAUAAUGCACACAGGAUGUGAUCACUGGCUCCAUAUCUGACGGUGCAGCACCGCAGAGCUCGGCGUGCUCUUUUGACAGGUGCUGUAGUAGCAAUUUUCGUGGUACUUUGUGUUUUGAGCUGUCAAUUUUGUGUGCGAGAGGGAAUGUUUUCAUGCUUGUUUUACACCCAAAGAUGAACCAAAACCCCCCAACAAAACCCCCCAAAUAUUCUUAAGCCUUUUCAGCCCACGAACCGAACAGAAGCAAUUUCGUCUCACCCUGAACCCCGGUCUCAUUAAAACACAACUCGUUU
rnacentral:lncRNA from 1 species